ensembl:lncRNA
UAUAGGAUAUAGUGUAUUAUACGUUUAGCUAUUAUUGUAUUAACAACCUACUAACCCUGGACAGUGACAGAAACUGGGUCACUGACAGGAGAUGUGUGAGACAUCCCUACAGUGUAGUGACAUGUGACCUGGACCACAGCUGGUAAUGGUUGACCUGUCCAAGAGAGCAGCUGAGAUCCUGCGACCGUCUGUUUACAGGUUGAGCCUGGCAGACUAGAUCUCCCCACUUCACUGAAGAUACAGUCAGACACAUAGACAGAUGGAGGAGUCUCACAGAUCAGCUGAACUGAGUCUCUCUCUCUGAUGACUGUAGGAAUCACUGUCAGCUGAGGAUGAUCUGUGAGAAUAUAAAAUGUAGCAUUUUGUGUUUUUUUGAAAUUAUUGACAGCCUUAUCACCCUCUGUUUAUGGAGGGAGGGAUCUUGGAUACUAACAAUACUUAAUGCAGUGUUAGUAUGGGAAACAUAUAUUUUUUGAUUGUUUAAUGGGAUAGCUAAGAGAGAAAGCUUUUCUCAAUCCACUUACCUGGUAAAAUUAGGAUUCAAUAUAAAAUAAUAAAAAAUAAAAGUACAACAAACAGUAUAAUAAAAAGAUCAGAAGAGAAACAUGGCAAAACAGUACAUUGAUUAAAACAAUUAAAACAGUCUUCUUACCCUGAAUUGUGACUGUAGAUGGGUCACUGAAUAUGGAUCUAAACUGAAAGCCAGUGUUACUGUAUUGACAUUGUAUUUUGACCACAGCAGGUGAACUUCGACCUGUCCACCGUAACAGAUGAUUUCCUGUGACUCUGAGUGUCUGUUGACAGGCUGCUGGUAGGGUAAACUCAACUUGCCCCUCAAAUUUGAAGUAACACUCAGACUCAGAGAGAGAUGAAGGAGUUGCACAGAUCACCUGAACAGAGCCUCUCUCUCUGAUGACUGUAGGAAUCACUGUCAGACUGGGCUGAGGAAGGUCUGUUAGGAGGAAUGUCAGGGAAUAAAUAAAUUUUCAGUGUUUCAUUAAUCAUACACCAAUCAGCCAUAACAUUAUAACCACUGACAGGUGAAGUGAAUAACACUGACAAUCUCGUCAUCAUGGCACCUGUCAGUGGGUGGGAUAUAUUAGGCAGCAAGUGAACAUUGUGUCCUCAAAGUUGAUUUGUUAGAAGCAGGAAAAAUUGGCAAGCGUAAGGAUCUGAGCGACUUUUACAAGGGCCAAAUUGUGAUCACUAGACGACUGGAUCAGAGCACCUCCUAAACUGUAGCCCUUGUGUUCCCGGUCUGCAGUGGUCAGUACCUAUCUGCUGCUAACAUCUUGGUGCCAGAUACCACAGCACACCUUCAGAUGUCUAGUGGAGUCCAUGUCUCAAAGGGUCAGGGCUGUUUUGGCGGCAAAAGGGGGACCUACACAAGAUUAGGCAGGUGGUCAUAAUCUUAUGGCUAAUUGGUGUAUGUAGCAAAUGUCAUGUAUGUUCAAAUGUCAUAUAUAUGGUAUGUUUGAAAAUUGAGGCUUGCAUAAAUAUUAACCACAUUUCUUCAAAAUUUUGUUUCAUUUAAUGUCUGGAAAUGUAUUGAAUUUGGCGUUCAAUUUUGGUGGUAAGAUAGAAAUUAACCUCAUCCCCAAGUUAUUGUGCACAGAGCAAAUAAGCCAGGAACACCUAACAGUCUAAGUUGGAC